ACCUAUUAAGAUAGAGAACAGAAUCAUUACUCCAGGUUUUUUUAUGCCCUUCCCAGCCAAUCUCAAUCCCAAUUAUCUCUAGAGGCAACCGCUGGUCUGAUAUUCUUUGCAUCAUAGAUUAGUUUUGACUAUUCUAGAGUAUCACCUAAAUGGGAACAUAGAGUAUGUACUCUUUUGCAUACAGCUUCUCUUACUCAGCAUGUUUUUGAGAUUUACCUAUGCUGUGGUAUAUAUUGACUUCCCUAACAAGAAUGUAUAAGCUUUGGUUGCUCCAUAUUCUUUGUCAACAUUUGAUGCUGUCUUUUUAAUUUUAGCCAUUGUGUUAUGUGUGAUCAAUUAAUAUUUUAAUUACUUUUGAGUUAAAUCUAUUUGUAAGAUACAGCACAAAAAUAAUUGAGGUACAUAAGAUAUAGGGCAACAUUAAGAGAAAUUACAAUAUUAUAAAUUUUAUAUAUAACUUUAAAGUUUUUUCUACUUUCAAGAAGUCACANNNNNNNNNNUGCAGAUUCUACAAAAAGAGUGUUUCCAAAUUGCUGUAUGAAAAGAAAGGUUGAACUCUGUUAGUUGAGGACACACAUAACAAAUAAGUUUCUGAGAAUGCUUCUGUCUG
rnacentral:lncRNA from 1 species